rnacentral:rRNA from 1 species
UGGGGAAUAUUGGACAAUGGGGGGCAACCCUGAUCCAGCAAUGCCGCGUGUGUGAAGAAGGUCUUCGGAUUGUAAAGCACUUUCGACGGGGACGAUGAUGACGGUACCCGUAGAAGAAGCCCCGGCUAACUUCGUGCCAGCAGCCGCGGUAAUACGAAGGGGGCUAGCGUUGCUCGGAAUGACUGGGCGUAAAGGGCGUGUAGGCGGUUUACACAGUCAGAUGUGAAAUCCCCGGGCUUAACCUGGGAGCUGCAUUUGAUACGUGUAGACUAGAGUGUGAGAGAGGGUUGUGGAAUUCCCAGUGUAGAGGUGAAAUU